rnacentral:rRNA from 1 species
UACGUAGGGUGCGAGCGUUAAUCGGAAUUACUGGGCGUAAAGCGUGCGCAGGCGGCUUUGCAAGACAGAUGUGAAAUCCCCGGGCUCAACCUGGGAACUGCAUUUGUGACUGCAAGGCUAGAGUACGGCAGAGGGGGAUGGAAUUCCGCGUGUAGCAGUGAAAUGCGUAGAUAUGCGGAGGAACACCAAUGGCGAAGGCAAUCCCCUGGGCCUGUACUGAAGCUCAUGUACGAAAGCGUGGGGAGCAAACAGG